rnacentral:rRNA from 1 species
UACGGAGGGUGCAAGCGUUGUCCGGAUUUAUUGGGUUUAAAGGGUGCGUAGGCGGCUUUAUAAGUCCGUGGUGAAAGCCAACAGCUCAACUGUUGAACUGCCAUGGAUACUGUAAGGCUUGAGUACAGACGAGGUAGGCGGAAUGGAUGGUGUAGCGGUGAAAUGCAUAGAUACCAUCCAGAACACCGAUUGCGUAGGCAGCUUACUAGGCUGUAACUGACGCUGAGGCACGAAAGCGUGGGGAGCAAACAGG